GACGAACGCUGGCGGCGUGCUUAACACAUGCAAGUCGAACGGGCCCGCCCCUGUUUUUGGGGGUGGGUUGAGUGGCGAACGGGUGAGUAUCACGUGAGUAACCUGCCCCCUGCUCCUGGAUAACUGCUUGAAAGGGCGGCUAAUACGGGGUGUGCCGGCUGGUCCGCAUGGGCCUGGUCGGGAUAGUUUCAUCUUCGGGUGUUUCGGUGGGGGAUGGGCUCGCGGCCUAUCAGCUUGUUGGUGGGGUGAUGGCCCACCAAGGCGGUGACGGGUAGCCGGCCUGAGAGGGUGGGCGGCCACCCUGGGACUGAGACACGGCCCAGACUCCUGCGGGAGGCAGCAGUGGGGGGUAUUGCACAAUGGGCGGAAGCCUGAUGCAGCGACGUCGCGUGAGGGAUGGAGGCCUUCGGGUGGUGAACCUCUUUCUCCGGUGGUGAAGGCCCUGUCCGUUGCGGCGGGGUUGACGGUAGCCGGGUAUGAAGCGCCGGCUAACUACGUG
rnacentral:rRNA from 1 species